rnacentral:rRNA from 1 species
CAAUAGCGUAUAUUAAAGUUGUUGCGGUUAAAAAGCUCGUAGUUGGAUUUCUGCCGAGGACGACCGGUCCGCCCUCUGGGUGAGUAUCUGGCUCGGCCUGGGCAUCUUCUUGGAGAACGUAGCUGCACUUGACUGUGUGGUGCGGUAUCCAGGACUUUUACUUUGAGGAAAUUAGAGUGUUUCAAGCAGGCAUACGCCUUGAAUACAUUAGCAUGGAAUAAUAAGAUAGGACCUCGGUUCUAUUUUGUUGGUUUCUAGAAUCAGGAUAAUGAUUAAUAGGGAUAAUUGGGGGCGAUUUGUAUUAACGCGUCAGAGGUGGAAUUCUUGGAUUGCGUUACGACAAACUACUGCGAAAGCAUUUGCCAAGGAUGUUUUCUAUUGAUCAAGAACGAAAGUAAUGGGAGUC